rnacentral:rRNA from 1 species
AUUGAACGCUGGCGGCAGGCCUAACACAUGCAAGUCGAACGAGUGGCGGACGGGAGAGUAAUGCUUGUGACUCUCGUUUAUGGAGGGGGUUAACUACGGGACACUAUUGCUAAUACCGCGUACAAUAGGAUGUGGCCAAGUAGGACUAGGUAGUUGGUGAGGUAAAGGCCUACCAAGCCGACGAUCUCUAGCUGGUCUGAGAGGAUGACCAGCCACACUGGAACUGAGACACGGCCCAGACUCCUACGGGAGGCAGCAGUGGGGAAUAUUGCGCAAUGGGGGCAACCUGACGCAGCCAUGCCGCGUGAAUGAAGAAGGCCUUCGGGUUGUAAAGUUCUUUCGGUAGCGAGGCGUUAACUACAGAAGAAGCACCGGCUAACUCCGUGCCAGCAGCCGCGGUAAUUC